UACGGAGGAUGCGAGCGUUAUCCGGAUUUAUUGGGUUUAAAGGGUGCGCAGGCGGGGCGUCAAGCCGGCGGUAAAAUUUCGGGGCCCAACCCCGGACCGCCGUCGGAACUGGCGCCCUAGAGUGGUGGAGAAGCAGGCGGAAUGCGUGGUGUAGCGGUGAAAUGCAUAGAUAUCACGCAGAACCCCGAUUGCGAAGGCAGCCUGCCGGCCACCAACUGACGCUCAGGCACGAAAGCGUGGGGAUCGAACAGG
rnacentral:rRNA from 1 species